rnacentral:lncRNA from 1 species
AACUGGUGUGUGUGUGUCAUGCCAAUGUCCGUGCAAAUGAUUUGCAAUCUUAAGCAAAUCGGAAAAUACUGUCCGUCGGAUGGAAAGAUACGACGAAUGGCGGAUAUAUAUGUUGAUGGUCUAAUGGCACUCAUGGCACCGAAUGACUAUUUGCUUACCAAUUGAUAUUGGCGUUUAUCUGGUCCAACUCGAAUGAAGGAAGAGGUUCAGUACGAUUGAACUGAAAUACUCCAGAAAAUAGAUUUGCCCAAAGCUACAUAGCAUUCAUCUUUAUUCCUAGUAGAUGCAUACAUCGGACCGUGCACAACCAGAGUAGCAGACACGAUUGACCAUGCUUGCAACACAUCCUAGCGAUCUACUCCAGCUAGCUAUCCCGCCAGUGUUUAUUCCCGGAGGCAGCUGAGAGCGGCACAAUCGCUGCUGCACGAGUCCCGGCACCGCAUACAAUCCGCGCAUGAUAUCUUCGGCCCGGACGACGGUGGCGGCACUGGAGCUGCUGAAACCGGCUCCUGCGAUGGUGGUGGCGGCCCCGGUCCCAGUGAUGGACAACGCCCCGAGGAAGGCAGGACCAGCAUGGCGAAAAUGGCGGCGAUGACGGCCGCCUUGAGAACAAGAGCGGCUGCACGUGAAGCCAUUGUUGUGGUGGACUGGACACAGCAAGGCCGGGCAACCUUGGUAGCUAGGAGGAAGAUCUGUGUGGAUCAGCAGGAGAAGAAGAUGCAGGAUAAAAUGUGUUAUUUCGGUGAGAUGACUCGCGGAUACACAUUGAUGUCAUUUAUAGGGACCCAAGCACAGAGUCUGGAUUGAUACACAUGGAUGGAUUCGCUAUGCAAUUAUUGCAGUACAAGUUUGCAACUUGCAAGUCGCGAACUGCGCCAUGCAUGUUACGAGUUGACUUUGGGUA